CGAGCGGAGUUUGUGAGGAAGCUUGGUUCUUCACAAGCUGAGGGGCGGACGGGUGAAUUACACGUGGGUAACCUGCCUUCAAGUGUGGAAUAACAUUCGGAAAUGGAUGCUAAUACCGAAUCCGCAAUUUUGCCGCAUGGCGGAAUUGGGAAAGACGGAGCAAUCUGUCGCUUGUAGAUGGACCUGCGGCGCAUUAGCUAGUUGGUGAGGUAACGGCUCACCAAGGCGACGAUGCGUAGCCGACCUGAGAGGGUGAUCGGCCACACUGGGACUGAGACCCGGCCCAGACUCCUACGGGAGGCAGCAGUAGGGAAUCUUCCGCAAUGGAAGAAUGUCUGACGGAGCAACGCCGCGUGAGUGAUGAAGGUUUUCGGAUUGAAAGCUCUGUUGCCAGGGAAGAACGCUCAGGAGAGUAACUGCUCCUGAGGUGAACGGUACCUGAGAAAAAAGCCCCGGCUAACUACGUGCCAGCAGCCGCGGUAAUACGUAGGGGGCAAAGCGUUGUCCGGAAUUAUUGGGCGUAACGCGCGCGCAGGCCGCCGAUUAAGACUGGUGUUUCAUCCUGGGUCGCAACUCCAACUCGCACUAGAAACUGGUUGGCUAGGGUACAUGAAGAGGAACGUGGAAUUCCACGUGUAGCGUAGAUGUGCGAAGAUAUGUGGAGGAACACCAGUGGCGAAGGCGACUUUCUGGUCUGCAGACUGACGCUGAGUGCGCGACAGCGUGGGGAGCCAACAGGCUUAGAGAUCCUGGUGGUCCACGCCGUAAACUACGAUGUUAGGUGCUACGUGUU
rnacentral:rRNA from 1 species